AGAGUUUGAUCCUGGCUCAGAAUCAACGCUGGCGGCGUGCCUAACACAUGCAAGUCGAGCGCGAAAGGGGGGCAACUCCCGAGUAGAGCGGCGAACGGGUGAGUAACGCGUGGGUAAUCUACCUUCGAGUGGGGAAUAACAGCGGGAAACUGCUGCUAAUACCGCAUAACAUCCUCGGGCCUUCGGGUCUGGGGAUCAAAGCUGGGGACCGCAAGGCCUAGCGCUUGGAGACGAGCCCGCGUCCGAUUAGCUAGUUGGCGGGGUAAUGGCCCACCAAGGCGAUGAUCGGUAGCCGGCCUGAGAGGGCGGACGGCCACACUGGGACUGAGACACGGCCCAGACUCCUACGGGAGGCAGCAGUGGGGAAUUUUUCGCAAUGGGGGAAACCCUGACGAAGCAACGCCGCGUGGAGGAUGAAGGCCUUCGGGUCGUAAACUCCUGUCGACUGGGACGAAAGUGGUCCGACCUAACACGUCGGGCUAUCGACUGUACCGGUGGAGGAAGCUCCGGCUAACUCUGUGCCAGCAGCCGCGGUAAUACAGAGGGAGCAAGCGUUGUUCGGAAUUACUGGGCGUAAAGGGCGCGUAGGCGGUCUUGUAAGUCCCGUGUGAAAUCCCUCGGCUCAACUGAGGAACCGCACGGGAAACUGCGAGGCUUGAGUUCGGGAGAGGGACGCGGAAUUCCGGGUGUAGCGGUGAAAUGCGUAGAUAUCCGGAGGAACACCGGUGGCGAAGCGGCGUCCUGGACCGACACUGACGCUGAGGCGCGAAAGCUAGGGAGCAACGGGAUAGAUACCCCGGUAGUCCUAGCUGUAACGAUGAGUGCUGGUGUAGGGGUAUUAACCCCCCUGUGCGAAGCUA
rnacentral:rRNA from 1 species